ACGGAAGGCAGCAGUGGGGAAUAUUGCACAAUGGGGGAAACCCUGAUGCAGCGACGCCGCGUGAAGGAAGAAGUAUCUCGGUAUGUAAACUUCUAUCAGCAGGGAAGAUAAUGACGGUACCUGACUAAGAAGCCACGGCUAACUACGUGCCAGCAGCCGCGGUAAUACGUAGGUGGCGAGCGUUGUCCGGAUUUACUGGGUGUAAAGGGAGCGCAGGCGGGACUGCAAGUUGGAUGUGAAAUACCGAGGCUUAACCUCGGAGCUGCAUCCAAAACUGCAGUUCUUGAGUGAAGUAGAGGUAGGCGGAAUUCCGAGUGUAGCGGUGAAAUGCGUAGAUAUUCGGAGGAACACCGGUGGCGAAGGCGGCCUACUGGGCUUUAACUGACGCUGAGGCUCGAAAGUGUGGGGAGCAAACAGGAUUAGAUACCCUGGUA
rnacentral:rRNA from 1 species